AUUGAACGCUGGCGGCAUGCUUUACACAUGCAAGUCGAACGGUAACAGGCCGCAAGGUGCUGACGAGUGGCGAACGGGUGAGUAAUGCAUCAGAACGUGCCCAGUCGUGGGGGAUAACGCAGCGAAAGCUGUGCUAAUACCGCGUACGAUCUAUGGAUGAAAGCGGGGGACCGUAAGGCCUCGCGCGAUUGGAGCGGCCGAUGUCAGAUUAGGUAGUUGGUGGGGUAAAGGCCUACCAAGCCGACGAUCUGUAGCUGGUCUGAGAGGACGACCAGCCACACUGGGACUGAGACACGGCCCAGACGCCUACGGGAGGCAGCAGUGGGGAAUUUUGGACAAUGGGCGCAAGCCUGAUCCAGCAAUGCCGCGUGCAGGAAGAAGGCCUUCGGGUUGUAAGCUGCUUUUGUACGGAACGAAACGGUCUGGGUUAAUACCCUGGGCUAAUGACGGUACCGUAAGAAUAAGCACCGGCUAACUACGUGCCAGCCGCCGCUGUAAAAC
rnacentral:rRNA from 1 species